GUUUCUUUAAAUGGACAUACAGUAUACUCUCGUUAAGUACCUUGUAAUUGAGUACAGCACUUUAGUAAAUGUUCUGUGUUACUGUCCACCACUGGCCUUGAUAAUAUGUUGGGUGUAUCGGUUUAAAUCUAUGAAAUUAAUUUGAUUGAUAUUUUUAGUCAAAAUGAAGAUCGCUGCCUUCAAUGUGAAGAGACUGGGAUGGACUAAAGUCAACAAGGAGGACGUACGGGAUAAUAUCAUUAAGAUUGUGUCUCAGUACAGCGUGGUGCUGCUGGUGGAGGUGAUGGAUUUGAGUGGUGAGGCCAUGAAACUGCUCCUCCAACACCUUAAUGCCUAUGG